ACGUUCCGAUUUUGGGCGUAAAGCGAGCGCAGGCUGGUUUAUUUAAGUCUGGUGUAAAAGGCAUUGGCUCAACCAUUGAAUGCCUUGGAAACUGGUAAAAUUGAAUGCAGGAGAAGAAAGUGGAAUUCCCUGUGUAGCGGUGAAAUGCCUAAAUUUAUGGAGGAACACCGGUGGCGAAAGCGGCUCUCUGGCCUGUAACUGACACUGAAGCUCGAAAGCGUGGGGAGCAAACAGGAAUAGAUACCCUGGGUAGUCCACUCCGUAAACGAUGAAUGCUAGAUGUAUGGAGCUAUUCCUUCUCUGUAUCCCACCUAACGCACUAUGCACUCCCCCUGGGGAGUACGACCGCACGGUUGAAACUCUCAGGAAUUGACAGGGGCCCCCACAAGCGGUGGAGCAUGUGGUUUAAUUCUAAGCACCGCGCAAAAACUUACCACGUCUUGACAUACUCGUGCUAUUCCUAAAAAUAUGAAGUUCCUUCUCGACACCGUAUACACGUGGUGCAUGUGUGUCUUCAGCUCUCGUCUCGAGAUAUUGUGUUAAGUCUCGCAACGAGCGCGACCCCUAUUGUUAGUUGCCAUCAUUAAGUUGGGCACUCUCACGAGACUGUCCGUGAGACACCGGAGGAAAGUGGGGAUGACAUCUAAUCAUCAUGCCCCUUAUGACCUGUGCUACACACGUGCUACACUGGAUGGGACAACGAGUCUCGAGACAGCGAUGUAUAGCUCAUCUCUUAAAACCUUCUCACUUCUCAUAGUAUGCUGUGACUCUCCUACAUGAAGUCUGAAUCUCUAGUAAUCUCGGAUCACACGUCCCGCGGGGAGAAAUAUUUCCCGGGGCUUUUGAACACCGCGCGUUACACCACAGGAGUUUGGAUUACCCCAAUAUCGUUGCGUAACCCUUUGAGGCCCUUCCCAUGUAGGACCAGACUGGGUGAAUAAAAAAAGCCCCCAAAAAAAAAAAAAAGGACAGAGAUAA
rnacentral:rRNA from 1 species